rnacentral:rRNA from 1 species
UAUUGGGCAAUGCCCGCAAGGGUGACCCAGCAACGCCGCGUGGAGGAUGAAUGUCGUAAGAUUGUAAACUCCUGUUAGAGGGGAAGAAUAGUACCGGUUGGACCGGUAUAUGACUGUACCCUCAGAGAAAGCCCCGGCUAACUACGUGCCAGCAGCCGCGGUAAUACGUAGGGGGCAAACGUUGUCCGGAUUUACUGGGUGUAAAGGGCGCGCAGGCGGGAUAAAAAGUCAGUGGUGAAAUCCUACAGCUUAACUGUAGAACUGCCUUUGAUACUUUUAUUCUUGAGUUCGGGAGAGAGAGACGGAAUUCCAGGUGUAGUGGUGAAAUACGUAGAUAUCUGGAAGAACACCAGUUGCGAAGGCGGUCUCUUGGUCCGACACUGACGCUGAGGCGCGAAAGCGUGGGGAGCAAACA